UACUAGAGUAGCACUCGCAUAUCAAUAAGCGGAGGAAAAGAAACUAACAAGGAUUCCCCUAGUAGCGGCGAGUGAAGCGGGAAGAGCUCAAAUUUGAAAUCUUAAAGGGUUUCCCUUUACGAAUUGUAGUUUAAAGAAGUGUUUUCUGUUGAGGUUUUGGUAAAAGUUCUUUGGAAUAGGACAUCAUAGAGGGUGAGAAUCCCGUAUUUGACCUUUACUUUCAACUUUGUGAUACACUUUCAAAGAGUCGGAUUGUUUGGGAAUGCAGUCCAAAUGGGUGGUAAAUUUCAUCUAAAGCUAAAUAUUGGCGAGAGACCGAUAGCGAACAAGUACCGUGAGGGAAAGAUGAAAAGAACUUUGAAAAGAGAGUUAAACAGUACGUGAAAUUGUCAAAAGGGAAGCGUUUGACACCAGUGUUGUUUUUCUGAAAAUCAAUUAAAGAACUGUUUAUGCUAAGCUGUUUAGACUUUAUCAGCUAUCUGUUUAGUUUUGAGCUUUUCUUAAUGCACUUUUCAGUUAACAAGUCAACAUCAAUUUCUUUUGCUGUAAAAAAGCUUGAGGAAGGUGGCUUGAGAUUCGUCUUAAGUGUUUAUAGCCUCUUGCCUAUGCAGUCGGAGAGAUUGAGGUCUGCAGCGUAGAUCCUUCGGGGCUAAAUGCAUUUGUGCUAAGUUAUAGCAUUUUAUAGACAACUUGUUGACUAUGAUUUGUCUUGUAGCUUACUCGCUUAUGUUAUUUUACCUACGCUUAGGAUGUUGAGCGCAUGUCUCUCUCU
rnacentral:rRNA from 1 species